AGAAUAUCAACAUUUCAAAUAUGGAUUUCUAUGCAGCUUUUUCGUUCAAGAAAGUUACAAAUUUUUUAUAAUGUCUUUAAAUCUAAAUCUACAGCUUAGAAAUGCCACAGAAGCCACGGAAGACAUACCCAUAUCCAAGAACCUGAUGAAGGUGGCAUUGCUAGCCAAAAAAAAAAUGGAGGAACAAACAAACAUCUCAAGUACUAGAAGUGGUCUAUUGAGGCUUUUUGCUGGAUUUGAUAGAAUGUUUUGUGCAAAGAUCACAUUCUUGAGGUUGUGGUCGUGUUGAAGGGGUCAGAACAGAGGACGAGGAAAGAGUCUGAACAAAGGAAGAUUUAAGUUGACUGGCAGGGAGAAAAAUCCCCACAGAGGAGUCUGUAAAUUCAAAAGCAGUGGUGGGAGCUCCCGCUGGAAUACUCGGAGAUGAACUGCACGGAAUAACAGAGGCCCUUCUGUGGGAAAGAGCCCAAGCUGGCAGUUGCUCAGACAAGUCCACCCACCAGGACCAGAGUCAAUGAUGGCUCUAGGGCUCUCUCCGUUUCUGUGGAAGAGUUCCCUGCCUACAGCCUCUCAGGAAGAUGGCCUGCAGGCCUCUAAGUCCUGGCUCAAGUGAUUCCCACCAUGCUGGAUUGCACCUGGAACUGAACAAGCAGGAGGAGCCUUGGAAAACAUCUUAUGAGCUCAUUGACUUUAUCCAUGAUCCGAAGACUCAGCUACUUAAGGUAACCACUGGAGAAGCUGGCGGUCAAGUCCAAGGAGAUGCCACAGAGAAACCACACUACAGUAUUCAUCCAGCCAACACAAGACCAUUAAUCAACCACAAAGACAGAAAGAUGAAUAAGGAGACUCGAGAAUUUGAAGAAGUUAACCCCAGGAAUCUUGGCCCUGUCAUGCAGUGACCCCUCACGUUAAUAUUGGACAGACCAUAUCAUUAUCUGAAGGAAGAUAAGCAAAGUAUGCAGGGCUCUGGCACAUUCGCAUUGAGCCACUUCAGGGAAUAAGCUCUUGAAGAAGGGUCUAUGAGUAACAACCUGGUAACACCUAACAUUUGGGGACAAUUAAACAAGCAUUGCUAUUCACAAUCAUUGUGGCACAAGACCAAGAAGAAAUCAAAAAUUUAUUCAUGUGUUUUUCUGUCUUAACCUUGUUUCUGACCUCGUCUUGUCUUUCCAACCUAUAAUUUUAAUUUGGUUCAGCUUUCCUCAGCCAUUUAGCUUGAAUUUUAUUUAAUCAUUAUAUAAAUAACCUUAAGUCCCACGGAGAGUCAGUAGAAAUCAUUAAAUAAUUAAAUACUUAUUAAGACAAUGACAGCAAGAAAUUUCUCUCUCCCUCCUUUCUCUCUAGCUCUCUUUCUCUCCUCUCUUUUCUUUAUACAAAGAUUCUUUGAGAAUGCAGUGAUCUCAGGCCUAAAAUAUUCAGCUCUGCCUUUUGUUCAGGACUCUUGGAAAGCUGGGGUGGUCUACAAUCUUAAUCUACAAUUAAGAUGUCAUCCCCGCUCCCUCCUCUUUUGCCCCAUGCUUUGCCUGUACAAAUGGAGGCUUUGGGAUUUUGCAGUGUGCUAACACUCUAAAACCCUAUUAAUACUGUUGCCUUUUUGGUUGACAGAUUUGUAGUUACGGUAACUAAUCUGAGCUAAAAGAUGUAGAGGUUUUUGCAAGUUCAAACAAAACCUAUUAUUAUUUUGAAAAAAACAAAAAACAAGCCACAGACUCAAUCUCCACACUUAAUUUCAAAGGACAACCAUCAGAACAAUAUUCUUUAUCCCAACGUGGGAAAUUAAAAAAAAAAAAAAAGUAAAGGAUUUUUCAAACUGCAAAACAGACAAAAGUUCCUCUACUUAAAAUUUGAGGUUAAUAAACUUCAGAAAUCUUGCUAAAAUAAUGAAUGAGACCGGUUUCCCAAGCACUUCCUGUUGUAGUUGAGGAAAGAAAAGGCUCCUUCCCCAGUCCUCCCCCAACCUGAAAGACAGUGGGUGCUACUAGGACUGCAUGCUGGUUGAGCAUACGCCUGGCUGGAAUUCCCAAAAAAAAGGUGCAGCCAGGGUGGGGCAGAAGCACAGGCCUCCAAAUUCACAGCUGCUAUCAGUUUCCCAAACUGUUUUUAGAAUCUCCAGGGUUGGGAGUGGGAUAGAUUAUGCUCUGCACAAUUUGGUUUGUGGAUCUGGGAAGGGAGCCAGAUAGAGUUCUCCCGUGAUUCUGGGGAUGAUGUGUGCUCUCCAGAGACACGUGAAGUUACAUGGGCCUUCGGAUAUCACUCGGUGAAUCUGUCCAUUUGUUUUCCAGAACAUGCAAUGGAGGCGCAAAAUGUAAAAUAAUAGUGUCCAAGGUCAUCACAUAGAUGUUCUCUUGACACAGCAGGGACUCAGACCCAGUGUCUUCUUCCAACUCAUUCAUGUCUAAUAAACCAAGUAGGUAGUAAUCAAAAUUGUCAGAUAUAAUUUGAAGAUAUAUAAAACACG
rnacentral:lncRNA from 1 species